UACAGAGGUGGCAAGCGUUGUUCGGAAUCACUGGGCUUAAAGGGCGCGUAGGCGGGCGAUAGGGUGUCCUGUGAAAGACCCCGGCUUAACCGGGGAACGGCAGGGCAAACCGAUCGUCUUGAGGCAGGUAGGGGCCGGUGGAACUCUGGGUGGAGCGGUGAAAUGCGUAGAUAUCCAGGGGAACGCCAAUGGUGAAGACAGCCGGCUGGGCCUGACCUGACGCUGAGGCGCGAAAGCCAGGGGAG
rnacentral:rRNA from 1 species